rnacentral:rRNA from 1 species
UACGGAGGGUGCAAGCGUUGCUCGGAAUUAUUGGGCGUAAAGGGCAAGUAGGUGGUCUCAUUUGUCUGGGGUGAAAGCCUUGAGCUUAACUCAAGAAGUGCCCCAGAAACGGUGAGACUGGAGUCCUGGAGAGGGUCGUGGAAUUCCCGGUGUAGCGGUGAAAUGCGUAGAGAUCGGGAGGAACACCAGCGGCGAAGGCGGCGUCCUGGACUGGUACUGACGCUCAGGAGCGAAAGCGUGGGGAGCGAUCCGG